UGGGGAAUCUUGGACAAUGGGCGCAAGCCUGAUCCAGCCAUGCCGCGUGGAUGAUGAAGGCCUUAGGGUUGUAAAAUCCUUUCGUUGGGGACGAUAAUGACGGUACCCAAAGAAGAAGCUCCGGCUAACUUCGUGCCAGCAGCCGCGGUAAUACGAAGGGGGCUAGCGUUGUUCGGAUUUACUGGGCGUAAAGCGCGUGUAGGCGGAUUUGUAAGUUGGGGGUGAAAUCCCGAGGCUCAACCUCGGAACUGCCUCCAAAACUACAAGUCUGGACCUAAGUAGAGGCAAGUGGAAUUGCGAGUGUAGAGGUGAAAUUCGUAGAUAUUCGCAGGAACACCAGUGGCGAAGGCGACUUGCUGGACUUAUGGUGACGCUGAGACGCGAAAGCGUGGGGAGCAAACAGGAUUAGAUACCCCCGUAGUCCCUGAGCGGGCUGGCAAGGCG
rnacentral:rRNA from 1 species